AAUCAAUGUUCAAUUUACUUUCAAUGUAUUCAAAUUCUCAAUUGUAAGCUUUCUACAAAAUUGCAAUCAAAUUUUCUUUCGUCCCGACGCGACCGAGAAAAGGCGGAAGGUAGUCUAGCGGAGCAGACUACUGCCGCACGGUGUCCCUUUCUGUGCCAAGAAGAAAGGCACCCCGUGAAAGUUGGUAUCAGAGCCGCGGCUCAAGACCCUCGAUAAGAAAGCUAUGGAUCCAAUUACAUCACACACCACUGAAGUGGUAGAGCCUCCCAAGAAGGGUACUACGAAACAGCGCGUGGAUGCGCUUGAUGAGACAGCUACUAGGUUGUGCUAUGCUGUGGAAGGUCUCGAGGAAAAAGUCGAGAUGGCCGAAUCUGAGAUUCGUGGAUUACACAUCCAAUUGGAUGAAAGCCAAAGAGCUUGCGCAGUAAUGACGGAAGCUGCU
rnacentral:lncRNA from 1 species